ACACCCGUUCCCAUGCCGAACACGGAAGUUAAGCUCUUUAGCGCCGAUGGUAGUUGGGGGCUUCCCCCUGUGAGAGUAGGACGUUGCUAGGC
rnacentral:rRNA from 1 species